rnacentral:misc_RNA from 1 species
CUUCUCUCUCUAUAUAUGGGAAAGCAUUGAAAGGAGAAUACUAAGACGGGAAACGCAUAGAAUCAGCAAUAAACAGAUCUUCCAUGAAAGAUACCUUAAAAAAGAUUGCGUUUUUAGUCCGUACACUUCAAAGGAGCGAAUACACACAAAAGCAUUGUUUUAGCUCACCCUACUCUCUCUCUCUCCUCUUUUCUAGAGAGGGAAAGUCCACGAGAGAGAGACGGGGAGAUGUUGGAAGUGAGAGAAGGGUCUUGUUGUUUUCCACGAGAGGUGCUUGGUGUGAAUGUGGGUCUUGCUUGUGUUGAUGGCAUUAUUGCGAUUCUUGCAUUCUCUCAGCUAAUAAGGAUUCAUACUAGGAAUUCACGACUUGGUUGGACUCGACAGAAAGUAAGUGAAUCAUUGCUUACCUUUCUACCCAUUUCUAGACUUAUUCUUCAUUUGAGCUUAAACUAAUUGCUUGGUUAGCUAGAUUAAUCCACUGUUGUCAGACUAGCUGGUUGAAUUGGGGACUUGUGCCUUGAUCCAGUCUGAAUGAGUUGUCUGACAACUUAAAGCAGACACCAGGUGAAUCUAUCUGAAUUGAUUGUAAAAAUUUCCUUAAAUAACCAAUGCUGCUAACAUUUGCGGAAAUCAAAUUAUACACAAGUAAUAUUUUAUAUUUAAAUAGCUUUCCAUUGGAAUUCUUCUUGAGAUGCUUCAGUUUGUGUAUUAUAUGUAUGGUUAUGGUGUAUAUGUCUUACGUGCAGAUUUAAUACUCUAUAUUGAAAGUUUAAUAUAAAUCAACUUUCAUUGAACUUUGUUAUUUCUAUAUUAAUUGUUGUUGUAGUGAUAAAAUUAAAGAAAAGAAAACUGUGUUGCUACUUUAUUUGGUCUCAACUUUCAUCACAAAGCAGUUCCUAUUAUUUCCUCAGAAACUCUGAUAAAAAUGUCAUGUCAAUUGUUGCAGUGGUGGUUAAAUCAAAAACUGGGAAAAUGUUGGCAAUUUAGCAAACAUGAGCUUUCAUAGUGGAGAGUGAGAGAGAGGGGGUUGGGAGUGAGGCAUCAAUCUCGUAAAUGUCUCUCAUUUGGAUUGGCUUAUUUAAAUUAAGUUAACCAAGUAUUUUAUGAUGUUUGAUUUUGGGUGUGAAAUAUUUUUCCUUUUAGCAUGAAGGCAUGGUCUUGAUAAAUUAUUUCAAAUUACAGGUGUUUCAUCUAUUGAUUGGCUCGUCUAAUACAGGUUACUUCUUCCUUUUCCUCAUUACUAUAAUCGCUGUAUGUAAGAGAUGGCAAUGCUGGUCACAUUCUUGUGGCUUUAUCUUCAUGGCCUUACCGAAAAUUCUGUCUUUUGCGGCAUUUCUUCUACUUUUAUCCUUCUGGGUUGACCUUCGCCAUCAGGCAGAUGAUGAUGAGGAUUAUGAAGAGGAAGGCUUCAGUUUUCAUGAAGCUUUGCUGGAAAUGACAUUAGAUGAUCCAUCAGCUCAUGCAGACAGUCUACGAAUAUGUUUACCUUUCCGGUCAAUUCGUGUUGGAAGCCGUCAAAAAAUUGUGAUUUGGGUCACUGCUCUAGUAUUUGUUUUGAUGGUGGCGUUUGCUUUGCUAAUGUGGAUUGGGAUGGGAAGUGAUUUUAUCAAUUCAUUAUCAUUGGCCACAGUAUGGACAUUUAUAACUUGACAUUUUUCUCAUUCAUAUUGUGGAAUAAGGCUUUUAAAUUGUUUCUUCAUUUAUUUGGUUGACAUUGCUUUAUUAGAUAUUGUUGGUAUGCUAGUUUUAUAAACAGACACGGCCAUGAACAUUCUACAAUAUGGUUCCGGUGAUGUUAGUCAUGAGCAAUUCCUGUAGGUCCGCUUGGCAUAUUCCAUUAGAAGAUUUUAUUUUCUUUGUGGGAGACAGAACUGGAAUUUUUCUUGUAAUAUACUGUAAUUUUUUUUUGAUAUCUGGCAAUUAGGAUUUUAGCUUCGGAGAGAAAGGUAAAAACACUUGUUUCGCAUGAAAUACUAUUAAUUUCCAGUUUAGCUUGCAUAAAGGUCAUCUUUAGUUGCAGUAGAGCAAAAUACUGGUCUAUUACAAAGUAUUUGCUUUAAUGCAAUACAUGUUAACCCAAUUCUUGGGAUAUAAUAGCUUAUUCCAGACCUGUUACUGUAAUGAAGCAGUUUAUAGUAGGAUGUGAAACUUUGAGUUGAAUGACAGUUUAUUGGUUAUUAUUUUUAGUGAAUGACAAAUGGAUUUUUAUGAUGUAUGUAACGGCUGUAAUCUCAUACAUGCAGGUAUAUGUAGUUUUUUUUGCUAUAGCAUUGCUAUUAUUGGGAGGAGCAUUAGCAUGUUAUGGAAUUCUAAUAUGCUCGAAAUUGCGAAGGGUUAGAUCUGAGAGAGCUGCAUCAGAAAUGUGGAAGGUAUUAAGUCUGUAGCUCCUUUUUUCUUUAAAGAUGGAUGUAUCCAUUAUGGUAUCAAAUCGUGAAGUAUUAUUUGGCCUGUGUCUGUUGUGUAUAUGGUGGAGAUUAAUUUUAUGUAUCUCUGGAAUCUGGUUCAAGUGUCAUUCUAGUUUAUGACCUUUUUUUUAAAAAAGAAAACAUAAUUUUGUGAUGAUUUCUGAAAGGAUGCUGCACGUGCAGGUUGCAGGUAUGGCUGCUGUCUCUAUUAUAUGUUUCACUCCAAGUGCUUUUGUUGCUCUUUUUACUCACAUUCCAGUAUGUACUUUUCCGUUAACCAUAUGUUCUUUGCUUGCAUUUCCAAGCACUAAAAUUCUCAAACUUAACUGUGUAGUUGCAAUUGCAGGUCCUUUAUCACUGCCAGAAACUUGACUAUAAUGGUCUUGAUACUUCUCUUUUACUGAUUUUAUAUUAUUUUAUAGGUACUGAGUGUAGCUUUUCCCUUUAAGAUUUCAAAAAUGUCUUGAGAUACUAUGUUUCAUUUUGAAUUUUAGGAACUUAAAUAAAUAAUAAAUUAGGAGGAGACAAGGCUUGUUACUUUUCUUUCUUACUUGGGAUAUAGAAUUCAGUUUCGUCAUAAUGUUAUUUAUUUCUCAUUUUCUAUAGGAAUUUUGUUUAAAUUGUUCGGAGAAAUUUCACUCUUAGUUCUAUAUGUCUGUAGUUAAGAAAUUGUUUUAAGAUUUUCUUUCAUUGUUUUAGGUUCCUCAGUACCCUCAGCAUUUAUACUAUGGAUUAUGAGAGAAUUACCACCAGCUAUAGUGCCUGAUGUACAUGAAGAGUCGAGAACAAUUGCUUACAUCACUGAUACUUCUGUAGUUGCACAUAUUCCUCAGCGUUGGACUACUGCAACAAGCUUGCAGAAUCAGAUGACUGUAUAGGACAGAGAUAAGGGAUAGUGACUUCAGCUUUGUAAGUGCAGAUAUCAAGAGGCAGCCCUAUAUAAUUGCAUUAACCAUGACCCGGUGACUUUCGUCUUGUCUGGCUGCUAAAUCUGAAGCUUGCUGGAAUUAACAAUUUUGACAAAGAAGACGUGAACUAUGAGUCUUGAAGAAGCUGCUGACACAGAAGAUGCGAUACAGCCGUAAGGUUGCCAUCGCCAUGUUAGACAUUUAGGGCGUGUAUAUACCAACAAAUGCUAAAUAGGGGAUAUCUUCCCUUCAUUUCUUCAUUCACAAAAACUUCGUUGAUGCAUUGUUCAGCAUAGGGUGUUCUUACAUGAUUUUGAAUUUUUGGCUGAUACGAAGUGAUCAUGUGGGUUUUUCCAUUUGUUAACUUGAUUGUUAUCGAACUACUCAUUUAUCUUUUAGCUGCACUUUUGCGAUACGGUAAAUUUUUUAAGUGAUUCCAAAGUUGACAUGUGCUUAGAAGCAUAUAACAGGCUGAGUAAUGACUAAAAGGAACUAGCCGGUUAAGCUAAAUCGAUGCACCAACAAUUAUAUUGAUCCUGUGGUGGAUGCAUGGUUGAUCUACAAACAAUAGUCAACACAGAAGUUAUAAAGGAAUUUCCCAAGCUGGUUUCC